rnacentral:rRNA from 1 species
CAGUCGCCGCGGGAAUACAGAGGGUGCGAGCGUUAAUCGGAUUUACUGGGCGUAAAGCGUGCGUAGGCGGCUUCUUAAGUCGGAUGUGAAAUCCCUGAGCUUAACUUAGGAAUUGCAUUCGAUACUGGAUAGCUAGAGAUCGGUAGAGGGCAGCGGAAUUCCGGGUGUAGCGGUGAAAUGCGUAGAUAUCCGGAGGAACACCGAUGGCGAAGGCAACUGCCUGGGCCUGAUCUGACACUGAGGCACGAAAGCGUGGGUAGCAAACAGGAUUAGAUACCCGAGUAGUCCCUGUCUCUUAUAC